rnacentral:rRNA from 1 species
AUACGUAGGUGACAAGCGUUAUCCGGAUUUACUGGGCGUAAAGGGCGUGUAGGCGGUCUUGCAAGUCAGAAGUGAAAUUCCUGAGCUCAACUCGGGCGCUGCUUCUGAAACUGCAGGACUUGAGUGCUGGAGGGGAUAGCGGAAUUCCUAGUGGAGCGGUAAAAUGCGCAGAUAUUAGGAAGAACACCGGUGGCGAAGGCGGCUAGAUGGACAGUAACUGACGCUGAGGCGCUAAAGCGUGGGGAGAAAACAGGAUUAGAUACCCUGGUAGUCCACGCUGUAAACGAUGAAUACUAGGUGUAGGGGGUAUCGACUCCCUCUGUGCCGCAGUUAACACAAUAAGUAUUCCGCCUGGGGAGUACGGCCGCAAGGUUGAAACCCAAAGGAAUUGACGGGG